rnacentral:rRNA from 1 species
AGAGUUUGAUCCUGGCUCAGAACGAACGCUGGCGGCGUGCUUAACACAUGCAAGUCGAACGGGAUCCAGAGCUUGCUCUGGUGAGAGUGGCGCACGGGUGAGUAACGCGUGGAUAACCUGCCCUGGUAUCCGGAAUAACAUCUCGAAAGGGGUGCUAAUACCGGAUAAGCCUACGGAGCCUUCGGUCUCUGCAGGAAAAGGUGGCCUCUAUUUAUAAGCUACCGUAUCAGGAUGGGUCCGCGUACCAUUAGCUAGUUGGUGGGGUAAUGGCCUACCAAGGCGACGAUGGUUAGCUGGUCUGAGAGGAUGAUCAGCCACACUGGAACUGAGACACGGUCCAGACUCCUACGGGAGGCAGCAGUGGGGAAUUUUGCGCAAUGGGGGAAACCCUGACGCAGCAACGCCGCGUGAGUGAUGAAGGCUUUCGGGUCGUAAAGCUCUGUCAGAGGGGAAGAAAUGAGAUUGGCUAAUAUCCAAUUUUCUUGACGGUACCCUCAAAGGAAGCACCGGCUAACUCCGUGCCAGCAGCCGCGGUAA